rnacentral:lncRNA from 1 species
AAGAAAGGGAAGGAGAAGAAAAGAAGAGAAGAAGAAGAAGGAGAAAGAGAGGGUGGGAAGGGAAGGGAAGGGAAAAAGAAAGAAAAAAAGAAAAGGAAAAAAAUAGAAAAGAAAAGAUAAUUUUUUAUUAUAAAUUAAUGGAUUAAUGUUAAUUUAAUUUGUUUUUGUUGUUAUUAUUGUUGAUUUAAUUCAGAUUUAAUUUUUAAAUUUAUUUUUGUAAGGUAUUAUUUGGUUAAAAAAAGCUAUUAAGGUAUGUUUGUA